rnacentral:rRNA from 1 species
GACGAACGCUGGCGGCGUGCCUAAUACAUGCAAGUAGGACGCUGAAGGAGGAGCUUGCUUCUCUGGAUGAGUUGCGAACGGGUGAGUAACGCGUAGGUAACCUGCCUGGUAGCGGGGGAUAACUAUUGGAAACGAUAGCUAAUACCGCAUAAUAGUAGAUGUUGCAUGACAUUUGCUUAAAAGGUGCAAUUGCAUCACUACCAGAUGGACCUGCGUUGUAUUAGCUAGUUGGUGGGGUAACGGCUCACCAAGGCGACGAUACAUAGCCGACCUGAGAAGGGGAUCGGCCACACUGGGACUGAGACACGGCCCAGACUCCUACGGGAGGCAGCAGUAGGGAAUCUUCGGCAAUAGACGGAAGUCUGACCGAGCAACGCCGCGUGAGUGAAGAAGGUUUUCGGAUCGUAAAGCUCUGCUGUAAGAGAAGAACGAGUGUGGGAGUGGAAAGUUCACACUGUGACGGUAUCUUACCAGAAAGGGACGGCUAACUACGUG